UACGGGGGGAGCAAGCGUUGUUCGGAAUCACUGGGCUUAAAGGGCGCGUAGGCGGCAGAUCAAGUCAGGGGUGAAAUCCGGCAGCUCAACUGUCGAAGUGCCUUUGAUACUGAUUUGCUCGAGGGAGAUAGGGGUCUGCGGAACUUCUGGUGGAGCGGUGAAAUGCGUUGAUAUCAGAAGGAACGCCGGUGGCGAAAGCGGCGGACUGGAUCUCUUCUGACGCUGAGGCGCGAAAGCUAGGGGAGCAAACGGG
rnacentral:rRNA from 1 species